rnacentral:rRNA from 1 species
GACGAACGCUGGCGGCGUGCCUAACACAUGCAAGUCGAGCGAGUGGAUCUCCUUCGGGAGUGAAGCUAGCGGCGGACGGGAGAGUAACACGUGGGCAACCUGCCUCAUAGAGGGGAAUAGCCUUUCGAAAGGAAGAUUAAUACCGCAUAAGAUUGUAGCUUCGCAUGAAGUAGCAAUUAAAGGAGCAAUCCGCUAUGAGAUGGGCCCGCGGCGCAUUAGCUAGUUGGUGAGGUAACGGCUCGACCAAGGCGACGAUGCGUAGCCGACCUGAGAGGGUGAUCGGCCGACAUUGGGACUGAGACACGG